GACGAACGCUGGCGGCGUGCCUAAUACAUGCAAGUCGAGCGAGCGGAACUAACAGAUUUACCUCGGUAAUGACGUUAGGAAAGCGAGCGGCGGAUGGGUGAGUAACACGUGGGGAACCUGCCCCAUAGUCUGGGAUACCACUUGGAAACAGGUGCUAAUACCGGAUAAGAAAGCAGAUCGCAUGAUCAGCUUUUAAAAGGCGGCGUAAGCUGUCGCUAUGGGAUGGCCCCGCGGUGCAUUAGCUAGUUGGUAAGGUAAAGGCUUACCAAGGCGAUGAUGCAUAGCCGAGUUGAGAGACUGAUCGGCCACAUUGGGACUGAGACACGGCCCAAACUCCUACGGGAGGCAGCAGUAGGGAAUCUUCCACAAUGGACGCAAGUCUGAUGGAGCAACGCCGCGUGAGUGAAGAAGGUUUUCGGAUCGUAAAGCUCUGUUGUUGGCGAAGAAGGAUAGAGGUAGUAACUGGCCUUUAUUUGACGGUAAUCAACCAGAAAGUCACGGCUAACUACGUG
rnacentral:rRNA from 1 species